ACUCCUGCGGGAGGCAGCAGUGGGGAAUAUUGCACAAUGGGCGCAAGCCUGAUGCAGCCAUGCCGCGUGUAUGAAGAAGGCCUUCGGGUUGUAAAGUACUUUCAGCGGGGAGGAAGGCAAUACGGUUAAUAACCGUGUUGAUUGACGUUACCCGCAGAAGAAGCACCGGCUAACUCCGUGCCAGCAGCCGCGGUAAUACGGAGGGUGCAAGCGUUAAUCGGAAUUACUGGGCGUAAAGCGCACGCAGGCGGUCUGUCAAGUCGGAUGUGAAAUCCCCGGGCUCAACCUGGGAACUGCAUUCGAAACUGGCAGGCUUGAGUCUUGUAGAGGGGGGUAGAAUUCCAGGUGUAGCGGUGAAAUGCGUAGAGAUCUGGAGGAAUACCGGUGGCGAAGGCGGCCCCCUGGACAAAGACUGACGCUCAGGUGCGAAAGCGUGGGGAGCAAACAGGAUGAGAAACCCUAGUAGUCCCAUGAU
rnacentral:rRNA from 1 species